CUUCUUCUUUCGUGUCGUCGUUGUCGCGCAACUCUCUAUUCUGUCAUGCUUAUGUAGAAGCGCCCCAAGGCAGGAGGCAGUUGCAAGCAGUAGGCCAAUAUCCACUAGUGUUGCUCGUCCC
ensembl:ncRNA C41G11.18 ncRNA